AGUUCACAAAAACAAACACACUGGUGUGUGUUGUUGUUCGAUCAGGCAGAGACCAAAAAGGGGGAAACCCUAGCUCUUAGAGAUUAUCAAGGUUAAGGAGAAAUUGAGAGCCCAAACCAAUGCUAGAACCCGAAUUUUCAUCCAUCUAAGCUUGAACAUCAAAAGGCGUGAAGGAAGAAAGCACGAACACUAAUAGGGCGGAAGGUGUACAAGACCGAGGCGUGAAGGAAGAAAGCACGAACACUAAUAGGGCGGAAGGUGUACAAGACCGAGGUAAAUCCUCGACUUAGGCGAUUGGACGGCUUGGAACGUGCACACUUGGUUUACGCCCGCCUCACGCUUCCGUUAUAAAUUACUUUUGAAAUGGGUCAAUUUUGUGGUCGUAUGUACUUUAAGUCCAUGUAGUAUGUUGUUGUCUUGUUGUAGGGUAAAAACUUAGUAGUUGUAGUCAUAUCGGGUCUAAUGUAAGCUUUGCCCGUUUAGGGAAUUGUCAAGAUGGUUAGACUUUGAAGUUUUGUUGUGUAAACAGGUAGUUAAUGGUUUUAAACAAAUGGGUCAUGCCGAAAUUUACAAAAAUUUUCCUA